AAAUAAAAAAAAAAUGUUUCCAUAUAUAAUAAUUCUGUUUGAUGUUUAUAAAGAUCUACAAAAUACAAAUAACGUGUAAUAUAAUAUUCUCUUUGAUACAAAUCAAAAAUAAGCAAGAGAAGUAAAUAGUAAUUAUAGGAAAUUCGUUGUUACAUAUACAUUUCAAGCAUGGACGUGGAAGAAAAAAUAAAGGGUGACAUGAGAUCACUCGGCUGCAACUGCGAAAUGAAAAUCUCGCUAGCGUAUUUCCUCUACAUAUAUUUAGUCGACGAAAAACCAAUGUACGACACGGAAUACUGUUACAACAAAGACAUUAACACAUUGUACGUAGUCGCACGGCCAAGUAAAAACCAAAAACUUAACAUAUACGUACCGGUACCUACUUUUCAAGAGAUAACCAUGGAUUUUAUCAGUAAAUUGCAAGAAAAACCUCUGUACUGUUGAGACGGGGCAUGCUAUCAAUUUGGCCUUUAUUGACAGUGACUUUACGACAGUAAUAUACACGUUCAGCAAAGGUAUAUCUAAGAGAUUACCUCAGGAGCAGAUAAAUCAAAAUCGGCGGAAGGAAGAGCGCCGCACGUUUAUUAAUAACGAGUUGAAAAAAAGCCACAAAAAUAUUACAAAUGAUGCGUUAAAUGGAGGUUUUGUUGAUGAUGAUGAUUGCCAGGUUGUGGAGUGAGUUUUUUAACCAAAUUUGGGAUUAUCAAACUACGUUGUUGGUAGUGGAUUGACAGUGUAUAAUGCUGAGCUGUUAGUAUUAACUAGUACACUGUUGCAGGAAAUUUUGUUCUCAGUGAGAUGAAUUUGCAUACUGAUCAAUGGAGCAUGGACGGAAUGUGGGUUUUAAUCAUCAAACAACUUAAUCAUUAAUCAGCACUAAAGCCUUCUAAUAAAGAUAUAGUAGGGUAUUGGAAGUAAGGAAAAUAUUACAGUUAUUUUAAUGUAACUGUAUUUUAAAAUUCCAAAAUUGGGUGAAAUUAGUUAUUUUCAAUACCUAUCCCAUAAGUUUGCGAUAGCAAGCCACAAAAAAACUGAGUUAUGCUAAAAUGUACCUUCUACUUUUAAAAACAUUUGUGGAUUGUUAUUUUUUACAACUGGAAUAUUGUACGAGUAUAUAUAGAAGUGAUUGUAUGGAUUCAUUGAAACAUAGAUUUUUGUGUUCAAUAUAAAUAUAUCUUGGCAUGUUUUGUUGAAGUAAAGUAUUACAUUUGGAUUGUGUGUUAAAUAUUAACAACUUAGUUUUGGAUAAUUUCAGGAUUGGUAUAAUUGUUUUCAUAACUGGGUCCAAUUAUAUUACAUAGACUCUUAACCCUCAUAUGUACUAUAUUUUAGAUUUUCAGUUAUAAAUUGAAAUGUUUGUGAUAUUAAUUUAAAAAAUCUAUAGGCCAUUGCCUGUUGAAGCAAGGAGUAUGCUAUCUAAGAAGGCAUGACAUUUAAGGGGUGUUAAAAACUUUGUCAAUCAAUGUAGUCAGUGAUGGCCUUAACCAAUAUGAGACUAUGGGCAAAUUUGUUUAGGCAUUUUCUUUUGUAACCCUUGUAUGUGAAAUCCCAGCCAGCUUGAGGCUCCGUCCAAAAAAACAGAUUUUAACAAAGUGUUGGCAAAGAGAAUGAUGACCUAAAAAAAACUGCACUUAGACCCUCGUCUAAAGAGCAAAUCUCCUGGAAGUCACCUGGUCACCUAUAAAAUAUAAGGGGGCAAGAAAAAAAAUUGUAAUAAAAUGUUGUAUAAUA
rnacentral:sRNA from 1 species